GGGGAUUCUGGUGCUGGUCGCUGGGUUUGUAGAUCUUACUAGUGGUUCCUGGAUUCGGAUGCCCAGUGUUGCUGUGAAGGUCGCCAUUUUGGAGAUGUCUUGGAGGACAUGUGUGGUGUCAUGCUGGCGUACUAGGAGAUUGAAUGGGUGCCCCCAGCGGUACGCAAUGUUCGCCUGUGCCUGUGUGUUAGUGAGAGGUUUGAGUUCUCU